rnacentral:rRNA from 1 species
AUUGAACGCUGGCGGCAGGCCUAACACAUGCAAGUCGAGCGGAUGAAGGGAGCUUGCUCCUGGAUUCAGCGGCGGACGGGUGUGUAAUGCCUAUGAAUCUGCCUGGUAGUGGUGUAUAACGUCCGGAAACGGGCGCUAAUACCGCAUACUUCCUGCUGGAGCAAGUGGGGGAUCUUCGGACCUCACGCUCUCAGAUGAACCUAGGUCGGAUUAGCUAGGUGGUGGGGUAAAGGCCUACCAAGGCGACGAUCCGUAACUGGGCUGAGAGGAUGAUCAGUCACACUGGAACUGAGACACGGCCCAGACUCAUACGGGAGGCAGCAGUGGGGAAGAUUGGACAAUGGGCGAAAGCAUGAUCCAGCCAUGCAGCGUGGGUGAAGAAGGUCUGCGGAUUGUAAAGCACUUUAAGGUGGGAGGAAGGGCAGUAAGUUAAAACCUUGCUGUUUUGACGUUACCAACAGAAUAAGCACGGGUUAACUUCGU